rnacentral:ncRNA from 1 species
UGGUUUUAAGGUGGCGGGUGGACUGGGCCCUUGUGUGCAGCCGUUGAAAAAUACGCACAGGGUAUAACAUCUUUUCCUGUGUCUCUUGAAUUUAAAUGUCUAUUGGCUGGGUCUCUCCAAAGUUCCCCCUCAGAAGAACAUUCACUAUCUUGUUGUUUUACCUGGUAAAGCAAACUUCUUGAGGUGCUGGGGCCAAAAUGGCAUGAAGGCUUAUUCACAUCACCUGAGACUAAGAUCUCAAUUUUAUUCUGAUGAGAUCCCAGAAGAUCCCAUAAGAUCUCAUCUUUAUCCAAAAUGUUGACAUACUCAAACACCUGAGAAUCCUCAACAGUUUAGCAUUAGUGUCUUAUUGCUCUCACCCAGACUCCCCCCCCCCAAUCAUUUGCCAAGUUGGGCUCCAGAAAUGGUUCCCUAAAGGGUUGUUGGAGAUAUCAUUUUUAUUUGCAGAUCAAUCAUUGUUGAAUUUGUCUUUUAAGAAAUAAUUUUAAUCUACCCAAUGCAAACUGUCAUUUAAGGGGAUGUGGUGGCGCACUGGGUUUGGCCAGGGUCUGCUCUGUGGUGGGUCUGCGGUUUGAGUCCUGCUGGGGGUGCCUUGUGGCAGACUGGCGUCCUGUCUGGGGUAUGGUCCCCCCCGCAUCAUUUAACUUCUGCCCUAGAAAAAGAAGAUUAUGGUCAGAAUUUUAAAAAGUUCAGUAGGUAAGCUAACUAGUCUUGCAUAUUUGGCAAAGAAAUGUACUUUGUGGAAUGCAAGUCACCUAGUGGGCAAUCUUUGGUAUGUAGAACUGGUGCUGUGGGAUGAACCAGAUGCUAGGUUAAGACACUCAAUGCCAAUGCUCAUCAGACUACAAAAAAAGGUGUUGGUUGGCAUAGACAGCAGGACGGUGGCCAUGGAACUCAGAAUCUGCUAAAGUGUUUUAACAACCCACCUGCAGAGUCAACCAGCCCUAUAACUGGAUGGCACUGGAGAGUGUCAGGUCCAUCGUGGCAACAGGAGCCGCAAAAGCUAGGACAUGACAAAUAAGACAGCUGCUGCGGUGAGCUAUCCUAGAGUGUAGGCUUCAGUGGAGCCACCACAGGUGCAGAUGUCGGUGGUGGUAAGAAAUAUUCAAACAAAAACUUUGAAGGCUGAAGUCCAUGUCAACAGCAAGUGAACACGAGUCAGUGGUUGUAAGAUGCAAAUGAUGGUCAGAGGGGGCCGGCAAUGGCCUCUAUUUCCCCCUGCUAAUUGAAAGAGAAUCAGGUUGGGACUCCUGAAUCUGGAGUGGUGGAGACAGAUACCAUGAGGCAUCCAACAGAGUAACGUGAACAAUCUCGGAGAAGCUGGAGAGAGCCCCAGGGAGAGUUUAGCCUCCUUUGUAAAGGGUAGGGUGCCUCAGAAGGAGUUUGGCUGGAGAAAAGGGCUCCAGCCCUGGAAAGCAUUACAGUUUCAACAAUGUCUAGUGAUCUCUUAUUGAUGUUAAAUCUGUGGACAUAGUGUAAAUCUUGCACCAAGUUGUACUCAUAUCUGCAGCAGAUCUCCCAGGUGAGCAGUCUCACAUGUGUAAUGUCAGAUCUGUAGCUUUGGGAUAAGGAUU